CCAAGAAACAGGCGUCCUGUGGGAUUGGGGAGGGGGCAUACUUGAAGUUGGAAUAUGAGUUGAAAAUGGGGACAAAAAUUAGGGAAGCCAUUAGUUACUUCUCAAAUGCUGGCCACGUGGGACUUGUUUCUGCCCUUGGUGGUCAGAGCCGCGUCUCUGUGUACCACCUGCCUGUUGUUCAUUUCUGCAUUCAGUCUUUCUGCUCAUAUAUUAGACGUCUACAUUGCCUGGCCACUCAAGAUUCUGCCAGGUCCCCAUCGCCUCCCCUCAGCUUCAUGUGGAUGGCCUGCAGGGGCCUUACAGCCAACGUCUUCUCCUAUGUGAAAAUCCUCAUCUCUAAGAUGAUGGUAUUAAGA
rnacentral:lncRNA from 1 species